rnacentral:rRNA from 1 species
GCAGUCGAGCGCGGGAAGCAAGCUGAUCCCUUCGGGGUGACGCUUGUGGAACGAGCGGCGGACGGGUGAGUAACACGUGGGCAACCUGCCUGUAAGAUCGGAAUAACUCCGGGAAACCGGAGCUAAUGCCGGGUAAUACAUUUCUCCGCAUGGAGAGAUGUUAAAAGAUGGCUUCUCGCUAUCACUUACAGAUGGGCCCGCGGCGCAUUAGCUAGUUGGUGAGGUAACGGCUCACCAAGGCGACGAUGCGUAGCCGACCUGAGAGGGUGAUCGGCCACACUGGGACUGAGACACGGCCCAGACUCCUACGGGAGGCAGCAGUAGGGAAUCUUCCGCAAUGGACGAAAGUCUGACGGAGCAACGCCGCGUGAACGAUGAAGGUCUUCGGAUCGUAAAGUUCUGUUGUUAGGGAAGAACAAGUACCGUGCGAAUAGAGCGGUACCUUGACGGUACCUAACGAGGAAGCCCCGGCUAACUACGUGCCAGCAGCCGCGGUAAUACGUAGGGGGCAAGCGUUGUCCGGAAUUAUUGGGCGUAAAGCGCUCGCAGGCGGUUCCUUAAGUCUGAUGUGAAAGCCCACGGCUCAACCGUGGAGGGUCAUUGGAAACUGGGGAACUUGAGGACAGAAGAGGAGAGUGGAAUUCCACGUGUAGCGGUGAAAUGCGUAGAUAUGUGGAGGAACACCAGUGGCGAAGGCGACUCUCUGGUCUGUUUCUGACGCUGAGGAGCGAAAGCGUGGGUAGCAAACAGGAUUAGAUACCCUGGUAGUCCACGCCGUAAACGAUGAGUGCUAGGUGUUAGGGGGCUUCCACCCCCUUAGUGCUGAAGGUUAACGCAUUAAGCACUCCGCCUGGGG